rnacentral:lncRNA from 1 species
GAGAUUGAGUUGGUCCCCUCCCGUGCAUCUAACAGGGUUGUGACUCUGUUGUAGGAAUGGCCGGCUUCGCAGCGAUUGUUGCAUAUGGGCUCUACAAGCUGAAGAGCAGGGGAAACACGAAGAUGUCUAUUCACUUGAUCCACAUGCGUGUGGCAGCCCAGGGCUUUGUUGUGGGGGCCAUGACUCUUGGUAGGUUCAUCAGUACAUUAUUUUUGGGGUUUUUUUGUUUGGUUUUUUUUUUCAGAGCUGGGGACCGAACCCAGGGCCUUGUGCUUGCUAGGCAAGCACUCUACCACUGAGCUAAAUCCCCAACUCCUCGUCAGUACAUUGUUAGGUUUCUGUUUCUCAUUGAUGCUUUUUUCCUUACAAAGCAAAGUAAAUACUUUUGCUGAUCUUAAAACAGUUUGAAAAUACCGUUUAUUCAUUUUCUUAUGAAAGAAUGAUUAAUUAGAGCAGUGACAGGCUUUGCCUCCUAUUCUGUAACUCUUCAAUUCCAUUGCUCAGAUUCUGAACAUAGGUUAGUAGUAACAGUUUUCUGAGAAGGCUAUGACAGUUGUAUUGAGUUUGAGAAGGUAGAAAAGAUUCUAAAAUGUACAUGCUUUUACUGGCAUCAUGAUGUACUGACUUUAUCUUAUAUAAUGUGGUGGGUGUUUCUAAAUUUGCCUGGUAAAUACUGAUUGUUGAUUAAAACAGUGGGACACAGUGAGUGAGCUGCGCACACUGCCCUGUCCUGUCGACUGUGGUGUGUUUUCUGAAUGCUGAAGGAGAUGUUUUAAUGCUUCUCUUCUUUUUCUUUAGGUAUGGGCUAUUCCAUGUAUCAAGAAUUCUGGGCCAAGCGUAAGCCUUAGAAGAGCUGCUGCCUUGGUCUGGGAAGUGCUUGCUUUAGUUAGACGUCUCAUAUUGAGGUUACAUGUUUGUGUCUGCAAUAAAUAACAUAUGGUUUAGAC